AUUGAACGCUGGCGGCAUGCUUUACACAUGCAAGUCGAACGGGGUUAGGGGCUUGCUCCUAAUCUAGUGGCGAACGGGUGAGUAAUGCAUCGGAACGUACCUUCAAGUGGGGGAUAACGCACCGAAAGGUGUGCUAAUACCGCAUAUACUGUGAGCAGGAAAGCAGGGGAUCUUAGGACCUUGUGCUUGGAGAGCGGCCGAUGUCGGAUUAGCUAGUUGGUGGGGUAAAGGCUCACCAAGGCAACGAUCCGUAGCGGGUCUGAGAGGAUGAUCCGCCACACUGGGACUGAGACACGGCCCAGACUCCUACGGGAGGCAGCAGUGGGGAAUCUUGCGCAAUGGGGGCAACCCUGACGCAGCCAUGCCGCGUGAACGAUGAAGGCCUUAGGGUUGUAAAGUUCUUUUACCCGUGACGAUGAUGACGGUAACGGGGAUAAGCUCCGGCUAACUUCGUGCCAGCAGCCGCGG
rnacentral:rRNA from 1 species